AUGGACUCAGAUUCAUGACACUGUACAGGAGACAAGGAUCAAGACCAUCCCCAUGGAAAAGAAAUGCAAAAAGGCAAAAUGGCUGUCUCAGGAGGCCUUACAAAUAGCUGUGAAAAGAAAAGAAGUGAAAAGCCAAGGAGAAAAGGAAAGAUAUAAGCAUCUGAAUGCAGAGUUCCAAAGAAUAGCAAGAAGCGAUAAGAAACCCUUCCUCAGUGAUCAAUGCAAAGAAAUAGAGGAAAAGAACAGAAUGGGAAAGACUAGAGAUCUCUUCAAAAAAAAUUAAAGAUACCAAGGGAAUAUUUCAUGCAAAGAUGGGCUUGAUAAAGGACAGAAAUGGUAUGAACCUAACAGAAGCAGAAGAUAUUAUGAAGACGUGGCAAGAAUACACAGAACUGUACAAAAAAGAUCUUCACGACCAAGAUAAUCAUGAUGGUGUGAUCACUCACCUAGAGCCAGAUAUCCUAGAAUGUGAAGUCAAGUGGGCCUUAGAAAGCAUCACUAUGAACAAAGCUAGUGGAGGUGAUGGCAUUCCAGUUGAGCUAUUUCAAAUCCUGAAAGAGGAUGCUGUGAAAGUGCUGCACUCAAUAUGCCAGCAAAUUUGGAAAACUCAGCAGUGGCCACAGGACUGGAAAAGGUCAGUUUUCAUUCCAAUCCCAAAGAAAGGCAAUGUCAAAGAAUGAUUAAACUACCGCACGAUUGCACUCAUCUCACACGCUAAUAAAAUAACGCUCAAAAUUCUCCAAGCCAGGCUUCAGCAAUAUGUGAACCGUAAACUUCCAGAUGUUCAGCUAGUUUUAGAGAAGGCAGAGGAACCAGAGACCAAAUUGCCAACAUCCACUGGAUCAUGGAAAA
ensembl:lncRNA